UACGUAGGGUGCAAGCGUUUGUCCGGAAUUAUUGGGCGUAAAGAGCUCGUAGGCGGCUUGUCGCGUCGAAUGUGAAAUCGUCAGGGCUCAACCUCUGACAUUGCAUUCGGAGUACGGGCAGGCUAGAGUUCGGUAGGGGAGGAGCUGGAAUUCCUGGUGUAGCGGUGAAAUGCGCAGAUAAUCAGGAGGAACACCAGCGGCGA
rnacentral:rRNA from 1 species